rnacentral:rRNA from 1 species
UGGGGAAUAUUGGACAAUGGGCGAAAGCCUGAUCCAGCCAUGCCGCGUGUGUGAAGAAGGCCUUAUGGUUGUAAGGCACUUUAAGUGGGGAGGAAAAGCUUAUGGAUAACACCCAUAGGUUCUGACGUUACCCACAGAAUAAGCACCGGCUAACUCUGUGCCAGCAGCCGCGGUAAUACAGAGGGUGCAAGCGUUAAUCGGAAUUACUGGGCGUAAAGCGAGCGUAGGUGGUUUAUUAAGUCAGAUGUGAAAUCCCUGGGCUUAACCUAGGAACUGCAUCUGAUACUGAUAAACUAGAGUAGGUGAGAGGAAAGUAGAAUUCCAGGUGUAGCGGUGAAAUGCGUAGAGAUCUGGAGGAAUACCGAUGGCGAAGGCAGCUUUCUGGCAUCAUACUGACACUGAGGUUCGAAAGCGUGGGUAGCAAACGGGAUUAGAUACCCUGGUAGUCCACGCCGUAAACGAUGUCUACCAGUCGUUGGGUCUUUUAAAGGCUUAGUGACGCAGUUAACGCGAUAAGUAGACCGCCUGGGGAGUACGGCCGCAAGGUUA